rnacentral:rRNA from 2 species
GGUCUGCAACUGACGCUGAGACUCGAAAGCAUGGGUAGCGAACAGGAUUAGAUACCCUGGUAGUCCAUGCCGUAAACGAUGAGUGCUAGGUGUUGGAGGGUUUCCGCCCUUCAGUGCCGGAGCUAACGCAUUAAGCACUCCGCCUGGGGAGUACGACCGCAAGGUUGAAACUCAAAGGAAUUGACGGGGGCCCGCACAAGCGGUGGAGCAUGUGGUUUAAUUCGAAGCUACGCGAAGAACCUUACCAGGUCUUGACAUCUUGCGCCAACCCUAGAGAUAGGGCGUUUCCUUCGGGAACGCAAUGACAGGUGGUGCAUGGUCGUCGUCAGCUCGUGUCGUGAGAUGUUGGGUUAAGUCCCGCAACGAGCGCAACCCUUGUUACUAGUUGCCAGCAUUAAGUUGGGCACUCUAGUGAGACUGCCGGUGACAAACCGGAGGAAGGUGGGGACGACGUCAGAUCAUCAUGCCCCUUAUGACCUGGGCUACACACGUGCUACAAUGGACGGUACAACGAGUCGCGAACUCGCGAGGGCAAGCAAAUCUCUUAAAACCGUUCUCAGUUCGGACUGCAGGCUGCAACUCGCCUGCACGAAGU